rnacentral:rRNA from 1 species
UUACCUUCGGGUAUUGAGGAUGGCGGACGGGUGAGUAACGCGUAAGGAACUUGCCUCUUGGUCUGGGACAACUGUUGGAAACGACAGCUAAUACCGGAUAUUAUGAGAUUCUCGCAUGGGAAACUUAUGAAAGCUAUAUGCGCCAAGAGAGAGCCUUGCGUUCCAUUAGCUAGUUGGUGGGGUAACGGCCCACCAAGGCGACGAUGGAUAGCCGGCCUGAGAGGGUGAACGGCCACAAGGGGACUGAGACACGGCCCUUACUCCUACGGGAGGCAGCAGUGGGGAAUAUUGGACAAUGGGCCACAAGCCUGAUCCAGCAAUUCUGUGUGCACGAUGAAGGUCUUCGGAUUGUAAAGUGCUUUCAGUUGGGAAGAAGAAAGUGACGGUACCAACAGAAGAAGCGACGGCUAAAUACGUGCCAGCAGCCGCGGUAAUACGUAUGUCGCAAGCGUUAUCCGGAUUUAUUGGGCGUAAAGCGCGUCUAGGCGGAAAAAUAAGUCUGAUGUUAAAAUGCGGGGCUCAACUCCGUAUUGCGUUGGAAACUGUUUUUCUAGAGUACUGGAGAGGUGGGCGGAACUACAAGUGUAGAGGUGAAAUUCGUAGAUAUUUGUAGGAAUGCCGAUGGAGAAGUCAGCUCACUGGACAGAUACUGACGCUAAAGCGCGA